GACCUCUGCAAAAAAAAUAAACAUAAGCCUAUCAACAAAAAAUCGGCAACACCUCCCCCAUACAGGGAAGUUUCCAAAACCUGUAAAUAAAAGUAACAACAUGAUGACGAACGUUCACAUAUGUUUCAACGGCACGAUAGCCAAAAAUCACAUAUAUAUUUUCAAUCCAUGUCGCAGAAUAUCAAACCACAUCUAAUCAACAUUUCUAUCCACACAAACAUUGGUCUCACACAAAAAGGCACAUGUCACAAAUCUAUACAUCAAAUAUAUGAGAACACCUGAAUAUUGCC
rnacentral:lncRNA from 1 species